rnacentral:rRNA from 1 species
CAGCCGCCGCGGUACUACGUAGGGUGCAAGCGUUAAUCGGAAUUACUGGGCGUAAAGCGUGCGCAGGCGGUUUGUUAAGACAGAUGUGAAAUCCCCGGGCUCAACCUGGGAACUGCAUUUGUGACUGGCAAGCUAGAGUGUGGCAGAGGGGGGUGGAAUUCCGCGUGUAGCAGUGAAAUGCGUAGAUAUGCGGAGGAACACCGAUGGCGGAGGCAGCCCCCUGGGCCAACACUGACGCUCAUGCACGAAAGCGUGGGGAGCAAACAGGAUUAGAUACCCGUGUAGUCCCUGUCUCUUAUAC